CGGGGUGCAGCAGGCGCGAAACCUUUGCAAUACACGAAAGUGUGACAGGGUCAUCCCGAGUGCCGACCGCUGAGGUUGGCUUUUACCCAGUCUAGAAAGCUGGGGGAAUAAGGAGAGGGCAAGUCUGGUGUCAGCCGCCGCGGUAAUACCAGCUCUCCGAGUGGUGUGGACGUUUAUUGGGCCUAAAGCAUCCGUAGCUGGCUGAACAAGUCCCCUGUUAAACCCACCGAUUUAAUCGUUGGCUUGCGGGGGAUACUGCUCGGCUAGGGGACGAGAGAGGCAGACGGUAUUCCCGGGGUAGGGGUGAAAUCCUAUAAUCCCGAGAAGACCACCAGUGGCGAAGGCUGUCUGCUAGAACGCGCCCGACGGUGAGGGAUGAAAGCUGGGGGAGCGAACCGGAUUAGAUACCCGGGUAGUCCCAGCUGUAAACGAUGCAGACUAGGUGUUUGGACGGCCACGUGCCGUUCUAGUGCCGCAGGGAAGCUGUUAAGUCUGCCGCCUGGGGAGUACGAUCGCAAGAUUGAAACUUAAAGGAAUUGGC
rnacentral:rRNA from 1 species